rnacentral:rRNA from 1 species
CAGCAGCCGCGGGAAUACGUAGGGUGCAAGCGUUAAUCGGAAUUACUGGGCGUAAAGCGUGCGCAGGCGGUUGUGUAAGACAGGUGUGAAAUCCCCGGGCUUAACCUGGGAAUUGCAUUUGUGACUGCACGACUAGAGUGUGUCAGAGGGGGGUGGAAUUCCACGUGUAGCAGUGAAAUGCGUAGAUAUGUGGAGGAACACCAAUGGCGAAGGCAGCCCCCUGGGAUAACACUGACGCUCAUGCACGAAAGCGUGGGGAGCAAACAGGAUUAGAUACCCCCGUAGUCCCUGUCUCUUAUAU